UACGUAGGCGGAAAAUUAAGUCAGUAGUGAAAUCCCAUAGCUUAACUGUGGAACUGUUAUUGAUACUGGUUUUCUUGAAUUUAGUUGAGGUAGGCGGAAUGUGUAAUGUAGCGGUGAAAUGCUUAGAUAUUACACAGAACACCGAUUGCGAAGGCAGCUUACUAAGCUAUGAUUGACGCUGAGGUACGAAAGCGUGGGGAGCGAACAGGAUUAGAUACCCUGGUAGUCC
rnacentral:rRNA from 1 species